rnacentral:rRNA from 1 species
UCUUAUGUACAUUCCUACAAUGUUAAUGCAUUGAAUCCCAUUAGAACUCUGCAAUUAAGCAUGCUUGGGAUAGAGUAGUACUGGGAUGGGUGACCUCCUGUGAAGUCAUAGUGUUUUACAUGCC